rnacentral:tRNA from 1 species
GGGAAGAUAACGAAGAGGCUAAACGCGGCGGACUGUAAAUCCGCUCCUUCGGGGUCGGGGGUUCGAAUCCCUCUCUUUCCA